UGUUACUACGGGGGGAGGGGGUAAAGCCACCUUGCUUAUAUAUCAUAUCUCAGAGACUAAAGAUCAAACCUAGUUUGCUUAUCAAUUCAGCUCUGGUAGGUAGAGCAAAGAACCAGCUGCUGUACUGCAUUAACCAAAGAGCAGCUUAAGUCUGAACUACUCCUUGGUAAAUACAGUACAGCAGCUGAUCUGUCAACAGGUCUUAGUUUAACAUGAGUGAAGUAAUAUUUGUGUAUUGCUUGUAAUAUAAAUGAACCCAUUGAUGUUGGGAGGGUAUGUGUAUAUUUAAUGCCCAUUGGGAUUUUUGUUAAUUAAUUUUGUUAAAACAUAGGAAGUUCCACAAGAGCUGAUGAUCAAGAGUCACUUACUAAGCCUACCUAAUGUCACCUGCUUACCCUAUUCCUUGAAUUUUCAGAAAGAAAAGUGUUUAUUUGAUUACUUUUAGUAUUACUAAUACCAUAGUGAUAAUAAUAUCUGUAUUAGAAAAGACAUUUUUUUCCUGAAAACUCAAGAAAUGAUGGAAACAGUUGUUUGCUAGGUCUACUAAUUCACUCUUUAGUGACGAAGUACAUGUGAAACCUGAAAAAAACAGUUGACAGCAUGUACUCAGUGCUAGUUCAUUAACUCAACUCAUGAUGGGAGCUGCUGAUUCUAUACCAAAACAUGCAUUAGGGUAUUUGCAGAGUCAACAGCUAGAGACAAAAGUGAGGAAAACAUCUUAUUAACCCUGUCCUGUACUCUUGGCUGUAGCAUAAAGGAUUGUUUACAUAAUGAAGCUAAGAAGAGGCUUUAAGCCUACUUUUGAGGGGGUGGGGAGUGAGGCCCUAUGUUGGGGAUUUCCCCCACUGUGGGCUUCAGCCCUUAGCUCAACCAAUUUUGUAUGUUUUUUUCUUCUCCCCUUUUUCUUUUCCUUCUCUUAUCCAAUCCCUUCUUCUGUCCACUUCCUAAGGUAGAAGAGCAGUGCUGAAAGGAUGAAAAGCUGGCUUUGUGUCAGUCCUGAAUAGCAUGGGGGAGCCAUGGACUUGGUAUUUCUUUGGUCAGUUGUCUAGCCCUUACCCACAUCAUAGACCAUUUCUCUUCCCCCCCAUAUUUCAGGCCUACCAAGGCCAAAUUUGUAGAUUUUGUAUGCUUACUAGAGCCAUUGAGGCUUGCCCCAUCAUCAGCUAGUAUGUCACUGCCUCUCCUUUUAUCAUGGCUCUGAGCAUUGCUGUUACUCCCCCCUCCUCGAUGUGCCUGCUUUCAACUUCAUCCAUUCUUAAUCAUCCAUCCAGGUCAUUACUCAACCUUCAGAAUACGUCUUCUUCAUCUUCUGCCCCCUUCCUCCCUUCACUACUACUAUUCAUCUUUAUUAUAAUACUCCCCACAGUACUACCUCUCCCCACACCAUUCCCUCUUAAUCCUGUCCUAGUUCUACUACUUUCACCUCUUAAACCUUUUGAAUACUCCUUUUAGCCCGGCCAAAUAAGAUUACUUCUAUAUGAUUCCCCCUACAUCUUACUCUGAAAAUAGCCUUCUCCACCAACAAUGUCUCUAAAACAAGUAGGCAUAGUUUUCCUUUGCAGUCGUUCUGAUUGUUCACGCCUUGUCACAGUUACAUCUGAGUCCCAAAGUCAUAUACUAUCUACCCUGCCUGACCUCACUGGCAAACCUGUUCCAGCAUAGCCUCACUCCUCCCUUAAUGCUUAUACCAGAACUAUUUCCAUCUCCCCAGCUGAUUGCCCUGUUUACAACAAGGAUUGGUCAGACUGUGAAAAUGACCUGCUUGCCUGCCACAUUUACUAUGAUGCAGUGUCAGUAUAGUGCUACACUUUUCCUCCCAGAGGCUGCUGUAAAUCUUAUGCCAAUAUUGCCAAGAUUACUUCAGUUGACAUGACCUGCCACAUAAAAUUUAUAUUGGCAGGGAGUCAUGCCCUGUUUGACCAUAUCAAACUCUCCCCUAUCAGUGUCAGAGAUGUUGGUAUUUAGAUCACACUGCCAAGCUCUGUUGCCUCAGCUUGCUGUCUUCUAUGUUCAGAACCAGGUUAUGACCCCUCAAAUGACUUUACAUAGUCAGGCAAGUGUGCCAGUUGUAGUGGCUCCCACAAUAUAUUUUAUAUUAUAGGAGCUCCCACCCCCCUAAUCCCAUGCCCUUUGUUGCCAUGGUGGGGGCUUAGGAGACAGAGAAUAGGACCCAAUGCUGGGGUUACACCCCUGCCUUGGGCCUCAGCUCUCGACUCAACUAAUUUUCCACUUCCCCUUUUUGUUUCCUUCUCUUCUCUAAUCCCUUCAACUGUCCACUUCUUUAGGUGUGAGAGCUCUCUUGACUGGAUGAAAGGCUGAUUUUAUGCCAGUUAUGAACAGCCUUAAGGAGUCAUGGGUAAGUUAUUCCUGUUUAGUUGUUUAACUUUUUCCCCCAUUUACUUGUUUAACUCCAUCCUGAUGGGUCAUGUGUACACACAUAACAAACUGCUUGGUCUGUGGGGUAUGGCUGUUGCCAGAAAUCACCAGAGGUUUCUGAUACCUGGCCCCUUUGGAUUUAAUCUUUGCCCCUCAAGAGAACCCUGAGGAGUGGGCUGUUUCUCCAAUGUAUCUUAGGCUUACCAUGGCCAGUAAUGAAGACUUGUUACUUGGGCAUUAAUGCUUACCCCUCAAUCAAAUAUCCCACUGAUUUCAAAUUCUACUACUUCUACCAUUUCCUCAAUACCUACUAUCACAUCAGCCCAAUCCAGGUCAAUCCUUCAGUCUCCAGGUAAAAUUCCUCCUCUUCCAACAUCCAUUACUUUAUCUCUUCCACUCCCACAACUUUAUUUCACUAACUACCCCAUCCUCCUUUAUUACUACUCUACUACCUCUCUCAGCACUACUCCCUUUCCAAAUGUACCUGUUCUUCUGCUGUCCCCUCCCCUACAAAUCUCUUGGUUACAUCCAAACCUCCCUCAUUACUUCCACCAAAAUUGUCUCCAUCUCCCCAACAAACUGCCCUGUCUACAACAAGGAUUGGUCAGAUUGAGGAGAAGUCUUACUCACCUACCUCAUGGACUCAGAUGCAGCAUCAUUACAGUGCUACAACAUCCCCCCCUAGAGGCCAUGGUAUGUCUACCAGUAUUGGCAAAAUUACUUUCUGCAUACAUGACCUUCCCUUUAAUGUUUGCAUUGGUGGAGAGUCCCUCCUUGUCCAACCAUAUUAACCUCCCCCUCUCAAGGUUAGCAUUGUUGAUUGUCUAGGCCAUCCUGGUGUUCAACAGUCUGAUGCCCUCUCUGUGCCCAAUCUGGUCAUAAUUGAUCAAACUGUUCUGCACAGUUAUACAAAUGUGCCAAUUGUGGCAGCUCCCAUUAUGCAUUUUAUAGGUACAAGUUUGAAUCUGAAGAGGCAAGUCUCAGAUACAAACUUGGACUUACUUUAUUCAAUGCCAGACAGGAAACACUUUGACAAGGUUUCUCUCUCACUCCCUACUCCAAUAAUUGCUUUCCUCCUCCCCUUUCCUCCCAAGAUGUUUCUGUAUCUCCCCCAGCAUCUCUUUGUCAUCCCACUUCUACGCCCUACCUCUCCCAGUCAAAUUCUUUUUUCCAGUCACUACCAGUACCUACCCUUCUUCCUCCUCGCCCAACUCAUCACACAAGACAAGUAAAAAACUCUCCAUCAACCCCUCCCUCCACCCCUCAUACAUCUGUCCCCUCUUCUCCCCCCAUAAGAAAAACUUUUUUUCUCAGACCUCCUCAACCAUUUCCACUGCAGAAAAUCUCAAAGACAUUCAAAACUAUCUAAUCAUGACCCAAUGUAACAUGCCUACACCUCAUCCAUCUUCUAAUCUUUCUACUCCCAUUCCUUCUACACUCAAAGUAACUGCCAACAUCCAUCAUCCUCCUACUCAUGUCCCCCCAAUACUCUUUCCCAACAUAUCCCGUUCCCCAUGCAUCAGCUGCACCAUCUCCACCUCCUUCCCCAUUAUCCCUCCUACUUACCCCUGGAUGUGAACCUGUGUCACAGGAACCCCCUUUCCUGGAUUCUCUCCCUCUUGACAUUUUCCCAGAGUGUGAUCUAAUUGCCCUUAAACCCUUCUCUUUGCUAAUCCCUGCCUUACCAUGCAGAUGUCCUUGCAAAAUCCCACACAUCUUCCUUUGACAACUUUGAUCUGAUCUCCCUUGUUAACCCAACCACCCCCAUAUUUUUUUGUGAAUUUUGUUACAUACAGAUGGCCCCAUAUGUCUCAGCCAGCAAGGAGUCUAUCAGUAGGCCCUAGUGACCAAUCCUGAUUUCCCCAUUCCUUGAAUUGGGCAGGAAAAAGUGUUUUUCUUUUUAAUACAGUUGAUAUUGAUACUGUUAUUAUUGUUAUUGAUGUUAUGAGGGUAAACAGGUGAGAUAGGUAGGACUAACUGAUUCCUUGGUUACUAAGCACUUGGUGAGCCAUCUGUGUGUGAAUAUAAUAAAUAAACUUGUAUUACAAUGGGCAUAGCAAAUAUUCUUGCAAUAUGUGCUGAUUGGGUUAAUCCGUAUCUUCCUGAAUUUCUACACAACUUCUGGUGUGUAGCACAUUUAAUCAUCAGUUAACCCCCCUCUUUACCCUUUUCACUAUUACACCUUUCUAUAGUGGUUUGGUGUCUGUCUAGCACAUAUUUUGCUUUGUAACCAUUAACCAUUAACCAUUAGGGGCUGCUCUACCUACAAGUUCAAUUCUGAGGUUCUCCAAUUCAAACUAGGUCCUAUUCUACACAAGGCCAGAGAAGAAUCAUGCCAUUGAAGAUUUUCUCUUGCUACCUCUUCCAAUGCAGUCCUGCUCCCCCAGUUUCUCUACCCCCUACCCCUUACCAUCCUACUUCUACUCCCAAUCAGAUGUUUUUUGUUUUUCUAAAUCUGGAUGCUCCAAUCUCUACCACUUUGACUGGUGUCUACCCUUCACUCUUAUCACUUUCCCAUUACAUCAAACAUCUAAACAUUCCACCCCAUCUUCUACCUUAUUUUCUCUCCUAUAACCACUUUUUCCUCUUCUCCUCCUAAGAAAACCUUCAUUUCUUGGAGCUCUUCACCCUACUCCUUUACAGAAACUCUCGAAAACCUCCAAAACAUCCUAAAUUUGACCUUAAAGAAUUCUCCUAUCCCUCAUCCACCCUCCAGUCUCUCUACUUCCAUUUUUUCUACAUUCUAAGUAAUUAUCGACAUACAUCUUCAUCCUCCUCGUGUUCCCCAUGACCUUCUUUUUCCCCACUCUCUCCUAUUACACCCCUAUCCUCCCCUUCUCCAUCUGCACCCUUCUAUUUCUUCUGUUCCCUUUUGUCACAAGUGUCCUUCUCGGGAUCCUUCCUCUUCUGAUGUUCUUCCUGGUACUUCACCUCCUUCCAUUGUCUCAUUCUCUGGGCCCUUCCCCUUCUUCUGUGACACCCAUUUAUACUCUUAUUACUACUAGUUGACUGUUUCAUAAUGGCACUUUUGCACUGUUCCUCUUCCUUCUUCAGAUGCAUAGAUACUCUUCACUUGACCUGAUUGCUCUUCACUUCAUUUGCUCCCCCUUUACCCUUUUCACUACCACACUAUCUUAUAGCGUUCUGUGAUCUUUGACAUCUAACACAUCUUGUCUUAAUCAUUAACUCAUUUUUAUCCCAUAUUGCCACAAACUUUACCAUAUUGGUAUAUAUGUCUUUUGAUGUAUAGCACAUUUAUUUGUUUGUUUUAUCAUUAACCCACCUACAAUGUAUAAACUUAUGUAAUCAUUAACAAUAUAAUAUAAGCAGAAUUUCAAAGUUACAUACAAUUAUGUUUUUAUAAAAAAAAUAUUUUGGCAGUUUUACAUGUAACUUGUGAUAAAUUGUACAGUAUACUGGUUAAAACUACAUAUCAGUCAACAAGACAAUAAAGUAUCUAUAUUUAAUGUUUGUACAAUCACUAUAUUUGGGUGCUAAGAAUUUUUACUCUAUACACUGGAAUGUAUUAAUACUAUGUGCAAUAGACUGCAAUUUUCUUUUAAAUUUAACAAUAAAAUAUUACCCCAUAAGAAAUAUAUGCCUUUUUUAAUAUGCUUUGCUUUUUGCCAUUCUUAAAGGAAGAGCAAAAGAAAGGAAAAGAAAACUACAUGUCAAACUAUUAACUUUUCAUUUAGUCUCUGAAAUAUCAUAUCUAAACUCUGGUAUUAUAUAAGAUUUUCAUAAAAUGUAUUACCUCUCAAAUUAUAUAAUAUAUACAACAAAAUCACAUAUAUAUUUUGUACAUUGUACAUUUACAAUGUUUGCAAUAAGAAAAAAAAAAAAAA